rnacentral:rRNA from 1 species
CCCUUAGAUGUCCUGGGCUGCACGCGCGCUACACUGAUGUGUCCAGUAAGCACCUAACCUCUUCCGAAAGGAACGGGUAACCUUUGCAAAGCACAUCGUGAUGGGGAUAGAUUAUUGCAAUUAUUAGUCUUGAACGAGGAAUUCCUAGUAAGCACAAGUCAUCAGCUUGUGUUGAUUACGUCCCUGCCCUUUGUACACACCGCCCGUCGCUCCUACCGAUUGAAUGUUCCGGUGAGCUCUUCGGACUGCGCGGUCUGCAGUUUCUGCGUUCCGUGCGGAAAGUUGCGCAAACCUUAACAUUAAGAGGAAGGAGAAGUCGUAACA